CACACCUGUACUGGGCCGGGGAGGACGCAGUCUGGACGGAAGCACCGACGACAUUGCGAGCAAGUUGCAGGGAACCAUCGGCAACCGGAGGAGUUACAGUGUUUCAGGUUCCUGCAGACUGGGGGAGCAGCUGUACAGCGACCAUCACUACAGCGGUCUGACCGGACGUAUGCGG